CGCGGGAUAGUGUACGGUGCACGUGAGGCUCAUAAUCUCACAGGCUAGGUUCGACUCCUAGUCCCGCAAC
rnacentral:tRNA from 15 species